UGAGUAUCUACUGUGCUUGUUACUACUGU
rnacentral:piRNA from 2 species